rnacentral:rRNA from 1 species
CACGUAGGGUGCGAGCGUUGUCCGGAAUUAUUGGGCGUAAAGAGCUCGUAGGCGGUGUGUCGCGUCGGCCGUGAAAACCUGCAGCUUAACUGUGGGCUUGCGGUCGAUACGGGCAUCACUGGAGUUCGGCAGGGGAGACUGGGAAUUCCUGUGUAGCGGUGAAAUGCGUAGAUAUCAGGAGGAACACCGGUGGCGAAGGCGGGUCUCUGGGCCGAUACUGACGCUGAGGAGCGAAAGCGUGGGUAGCAAACAGG